UUUGCUGUACUAUAUAAGACACAAACUGUGUGUUUUUAUUUAUGUAAAGGUAAUAUUGAUGUCAAAAGUUAAAGGUAGCGUUAAGUGGUUCAACGAAGCAAAAGGUUUUGGUUUUAUCACUCCGGAAGAUGGCAGUAAAGACGUGUUCAUUCACUUCAGUUCUAUUAAAACCGAAGGUUUUAAGACUUUGGCCGAAGGUCAGAAAGUUGAGUUUGAUAUUACUGAGGGGGAGAAAGGGCCAUCUGCUAUAAACGUUGUCGCUAUUUGAUUUACUAUAAGAAUUUAUAAUAGUCCGUCUCAAUAAUUGAGACGGGUUUCU
rnacentral:misc_RNA from 1 species